GACUGCAUAGCGUAGUGGAUUAGCGCAUCUGACUUCGAAUCAGAAGGUCGUGGGUUAAGCUCCCACUGUGGUCG